AGGGUGUAAACGCUGCAGACUUGGUGUUGGAAAUCCUUCGAGGGUAUUCAGUGCCGGAGAGAAGUUGUUAAGUCUGCUACUUGGGAGUACGUCCGCAAGGAUGAAACUUAAAGGAAUUGGCGGGGGAGCACCGCAACGGGAGGAGCGUGCGGUUUAAUUGGAUUCAACACCGGAAAACUCACCAGGGGAGACUGUUACAUGAAGGCCGAGAUGAAGACUCUGCUAGAUUUUCAGAGAGGUGGUGCAUGGCGUCAGUGACU
rnacentral:rRNA from 1 species